CAUGGUUGAUCCUACCAGAACCAUAUGCUUGUCUCAAAGAUUAAGCCAUACAUGUCUAAGUACGCAGGGCCAGAACAGUGCAACUGUGAAUGCUUCAUUAAAUCAGUUAUGGUUCUUUUGACCUCUCACUUCUCUCCUACUUGGAAAAUUGUGGUAAUUCUAGAGGUAAUACAUGCUGAAGGGCACUGGCCCCCUUCAUGGGGAAGAUGCGUGCAUUUAUCAGAUCAAAACCAACCCGGUCAGCCCCUCUCUGGCCCUGGCCAGGGGGUUGGGUGCCGCUGGCUUUGGUGACUCUAGAUAACCUCAGGCCAAUCGCACGCCCCCAGUGGCAGGGACGACCCAUUCGAACGUCCGCCCUAUCAACUUUCAAUGGUAGUCGCUGUGUCUACCAUGGUGACCACGAGUGACAGGGAAUCAGGGUUCGAUUCUGGAGAUGGAGCCUGAGAAAUGGCUACCACAUUCAAGGAAGGCAGCACGUGUGCAAAUUAUCCACUCCUGACCCAGGGAGGUAGUGAUGAAAAAUAAGAAUACAUGACUCUUUCGAGGCCCUGUAAUUGGAAUGAGUCCACUUUAAAUCCUUUAAUGAGGAUCCAUUGGAGGGCAAGUCUGGUGCCAGCAGCCGUGAUAAUUCCAGCUCCAAUAGCAUAUAUUAAAGUUGCUUCAGUUAAAAAGCUCAUAGUUGGAUCUUGACAGCGGGCGGGUGGGUGAGCCAUGGCCCGUCCCCACCCCUUGCCUCUCGGUGCCCCCUCGAUGCACUUAGCUGAGUGUCCCACGGCCCGAAGUGUUUACUUUGAAAAAGUUAGAAUGUUCAAAGCAGACCUGAGCCACCUGGAUCCCGCAGCUAGGAAUGAUGGAAUAGGACAGCGGUUCUCUUUUGUUGGUUUUCGGAAUUGAGGCCACGAUUAAGACGGAUGGCCAGAGGCAUUUGUAUUGUGCCGCUAGAGGUGAAAUUCUUGGACCGGCACAGUUCGGAUCAGAGCUGAAGCAUUUGCCAAGAAUGUUUUCAUUAACCAAGAAGUAAAGUCAGAGGUUCUAAGAUGAUCAGAUACCGUUGUAGUUUGGACCAUAAACGAUGCCGAUUGGCAAUGUGGCAACAUUAUUUCCAUGACCCACUGGGCAACUUCUGAGAAACCAAAGUCUUUGGGUUCUUGGGUUCCUGGGGGUGGUAUGGUUGCAAAGCUGAAACUUAAAGGAAUUGGUGGAAGGGCACCACCAGGAGUGGAGCCUGCAGCUUAAUUUGACUCAACACGGGAAACCUUACCCGGCCCGGACACAGACAGGAUUGACAGAUUGAUAGCUCUUUCUCGAUUCCAUGGGUGGUGGUGCAUGGCCUUAGUUGGUGGAGUGAUUUGUCUGGUUAAUUCUGAUAAUGAAUGAGACUCUGGCAUGCUAACUAGUUAUGGGACCCCCAAGCAGUCAACUUCCCCCAACUUCUUAGAGGGACAAGUGUCAGCAUUCGUCCCCCCCACCCCACCGUGGUCGGCACUGCCUCCCUGUGUUGUGAAACCUUCUGACCCCUCCCUGGGGUCUCGUCCUGUUGCUCUCUGACUGGCCAGCCUGAGGUAAUCCCUCUGGGGGACAUGCUGUGCCAGGAGGGCCCUCCCGUUAUUGGAAGUGCCGUCACCAAAUCGACCUUGUAUGACCUUUAAUUGGUGGAUUA
rnacentral:rRNA from 1 species